rnacentral:rRNA from 1 species
GACGAACGCUGGCGGCGUGCUUAACACAUGCAAGUCGAACGAAGAGCGAUGGAAGCUUGCUUCUAUCAAUCUUAGUGGCGAACGGGUGAGUAACGCGUAAUCAACCUGCCCUUCAGAGGGGGACAACAGUUGGAAACGACUGCUAAUACCGCAUACGAUCUAAUCUCGGCAUCGAGGAUAGAUGAAAGGUGGCCUCUACAUGUAAGCUAUCACUGAAGGAGGGGAUUGCGUCUGAUUAGCUAGUUGGAGGGGUAACGGCCCACCAAGGCGAUGAUCAGUAGCCGGUCUGAGAGGAUGAACGGCCACAUUGGGACUGAGACACGGCCCAGACUCCUACGGGAGGCAGCAGUGGGGAAUCUUCCGCAAUGGACGAAAGUCUGACGGAGCAACGCCGCGUGAGCGAUGACGGCCCUCGGGUUGUAAAGCUCUGUUAAUCGGGACGAAAGGCCUUCUUGCGAAUAGUGAGAAGGAUUGACGGUACCGGAAUAGAAAGCCACGGCUAACUACGUG